GGGCCCCUGCCAGGGCGACCCCUGCCUGGCUCCUAGUCUGGGGGUGGGUGGGCAAGAGGGAGUUUUCGACCUCUUUCCCUUUCGCAGACGCACCGAGAGACCCCCCUGGUCCCCGCAGAUCCUGGAGAUCUGACUUAGAGGCGAAGUGGGGAGAGGGGUUUGGAGACUUUUGAGAAGAGCCACCCAACCCUCGCGGAAAGUCCGGCAGCCACUGAAGGGCCAGAGACCCGUGCGGGUGGCUAGGGUGGGGAGGAGACGGAGAGCAGGUUGAGUCUUCCGCUAGAGGCUUCACCUGGGUUUGCGAAGGCUGGCGCCAGGAACCCCUUUCCAGGCCCCCUGAGCCCGGAUCCGAGGCAGCCCCGCAGAUGCCGGUAGGCAAACUCAGGUUCCUGUGCCCUAGGUGGGCAGAAAGAAGCAGGCUGGAAAAUCAACUUUCCUUCUAAAUUACACACACACACACACGCACACACACGCACUCCCUGGGUUGUUAAUGCAGAGGUGUUAGUUCUGGAGCAAGAAUUAGAUGCAGGUGUGUCCAGAAAGAGUGCACCCUCCGCCCUCAUGUAUACAAACACAUUAACCUUUCCCCUGGCCAGACGAAGACUGUGAAGUAUUUCUAAAAAAUUGGGUGUCCUCGUUACCAAGAGCUGUGGCUUGAUGUUUAUUUCGUCCCUGAAAGUUGGCAAAGGGACAAACCUUUACGGGGUUGCACACAAAAUGUGCUUUUGCCCAUUUGGGUAUUUAACAGGGGAGCUGAUGUUCUGGUGGAUGGGUUUUGAUGAGGAGAUAAGGGCAGCUUCCCAUUUUGGCAGUGGAGGAAUGUUCACCAUAUUUGGAUUUGCUUCACUUCUUGGACACAGAUUCCCAAAGCUCAUGUGAACGUUGGUGAUGGUUCAGAGAGAAAAUUGCAGGCCUCACCCACAGCCUUGACAGCGUAGUUUCUUGGAAUCAAGAGUCAACACUGGGCUAUUUCCAAAGAUUAAAUCUUGAAAGCUCGGUGGGAGGCUGUAGCAGGAGGGCAGAGAUGUCCACACACUCAGAUAUGAAAAAUGGUCUUCCACUAGGAAGUCUUCCUCUUCAGCUAAGGCCCUGGAAGUAGUGAAGAGAAAGGGGCCCUUUCUGACCAUGCUCACAGGGAUGGAUUAAACAGGCCCUAUUUUUGCAAGAAAUGGAGCUGCACAGGGUGGCCAGCUCAUCAUCAGCUGCUCAUGUCACCCUGUUGGGGGCUGUCACCUGUAUGUGGGUCAGGCCCAGCCCAGGGCACGCAGAGUGGAAGCUGCAAUGCUGCCCUCCUUCACUCGCCAAGCAGUAUGUAUUGGGUGUCACCAUGGCCACCUAGACUAUCUGACUCCUCCUUCUAAUCUGCACCAAGGUGCCUUGUAUGGGCAAUGCCAGUACUGACUGUCCCACCCUGUUCCCCAUGCCUGUCCAGAGUUACUGUCCUGACUUUGGGUGAAUUAACAAUGCUCAUGAACUAAUUAUGUUUAAUGUAAAAGAUGAGCUAUUUUAUCUCAAUUUUAGAUAAUUUUAUAGAUGAACAUAAAAAUAUUACCAUUUAUGUGAAGUAUGCAUGUAUAUAUAAAAGUGUGUGUAUAUAUAGAUAUAUAGAUAGUUGGAUAUACAUUUUUAUGUAUCAGAAGUUAGGACAACUUUAAAAAAUAAAAGAAGUCAAGAUGAUUUAAAUUUGGUAACUUUAAAAUAAAAAAAGCUGUUCUGCAGUUUGGAAUCAGUUUUAUAUAUGGAUUUCUGGGCUUCACAGAAAUAUGUACUAUUUGAUUCCAUUUCAGCAGAUAGCCAUGAAGUGCCAGUCACUGUACUAAACAAUAUGUAUAGAGUAAAGAAAAAUGAUGCAAACACCCUGUGUCUACCUAGUAAUCUAGUAAGGCAGGCAAAUGAUAAGGUCCCAAAUAGAUUUGCAGCUGUAAAUUAUGAUGAGAACUAUGAGAGAAAUGCUAAGAUGGAGAAUAACAAAGCAGAUCUAUUUCAGAUUAUGUGACUGGUAAAAUCCUCAAGUGAAACCCGAGGAGUGAGUUGGAAGGAGUUUAUGAAGUGAGUCCAUUCUGCCAUUUAAAGUAUAGAAGCAUUUGAGUUCAGAAUAAAAUUUGAUGUGUUUAAGAGAAAGUAUAAAAUAAAGCCGAUAACAAAGAAAAGAGAGGCCAGUGGCCAAAUCCAUAGUGUUUUAGUUUGUAAACUGCAAGUAACUAAUGAUGUUACACCUGUGUAUUUGCCAUUUGCUUUUGCAAGUGUCCUUUCUUCUUUCCUCCCUCAUCCUCAUCCAUCUUUGUCUCUUCCUUUAAAUCCUGGCUCAACGCUCAGUCUUUUCUAGGAAUUUUUCUAGUUGGAACACCCCUUCAGCCAUGGUUCUUCAUUUGCUGAGUAUGUGUGUACUAUGUUUAUUUUCCUAUGUGUUUUGUUGAUAACAUCAGCCUUCACUCUCAUAUGUGUGAGUUGAGUAUCCAUGGAAUUGUAAAUGCAGGGGAUCACAAGGGCAGGAAUUACAUUUCCUUCUCUGGUCUGGCUAAGUCUAGUUGAGUCUCACUGUAUGGUGGCCAACCUCUCAAUAAAUGCUGGUACCUGGGUGAUCUUGUUUGACUUGACGUUUUUUAAAGGUUUAAAGAGGAAGAAAUACAUAUAUUAUAAAAACCUUUCAUUGUUAAGCAGAUGGGAACACCCAGUGCACCAUCCCGAAGGGAGUUCAGGAGACCUUCGCACUGCAGUGUGAUACCAUGGAGCUUGAAGGGCAGCCGACAAACUCAAAGAAUAAAUAUACAUCUUUUAAAAAUUAAAGAUUGGUUGUAGUUUUAGCCUACCCACACAUACCAGCUGCUGAUAGGAGUUUAUCCAUAGUUCUUCAGUCUUUCUUUCCAAAGUCAGCACUUGCUGUGUGCCAGAACCUGCUCUGGGUGCUGGGGAUAGAGCGGUGAACAAAACUUCUCUCAUGGAACUAGUUUUCCUGGAGGGGCGAGAGAAUAAGUUGUUACUGAGUGUGGCUGAUAGCAGUUAGUGCUGUCAGAAGAGGAAUCUUAGGGAAAGGUACAGGGGUUGGGAGAAAUACAGUAGUACCUCAGUACUUAUUUAUUCUAGGAAUGCAAUGAGCACCAAAAAUGACAAGAACCAAGCACAUUGUUUUGGCUGGAAAGGGUAAUGAGUCACAUGGCAUAUGACACUGACAAGUUCUAGCUUGCAAGGCAAGUAUCAAUCAAAACUAGGACAGAAAGGGGCCAGGGAUUUAGCUCAGUGGCUCUGGUGCCUCCCUUGCAAGUGUAAGGUCCCAAGUUCGAUCUCUGGUACAAAAAAAACCCAAACAAACUAGGACAGAAGUUUUGUGUCAAAAUGCGUCCAGUACCAAAUUCCAUGAGUCUUAAAGCAAUCAUUUAUAAACAUUGCCAAGAAAGGUGUCUACUGAGUAGACAUUUGGGCAUACAUGAAGCAAGCGAGCAGGCAGAUAUCUGUAAGCACAGGGAGCAGCAAGUCAGGCUAAGAAGAAAGCAUGCUUGGUAUGUUCAAGGAUUAGCAAAGAGACACACAUGGCUGGAACAGGAUGGGUGACCAAGAAAAUGCCAAGAAUGAGGGCAGAGAAGUAGCCAGGGCUCAGAUUGUGUAGGAUCUUGAAAGGUAUACUAUGGACUUGAGCUUUCACUCUGACUGAGAUUGUUUUCAGUUAGGGGUCCUCUGGCUGACCUAUAAACUGUUAACUAUUGUCACAGGGUGAAUUAAAUGGAAGGAAUUGGUUAAAUGGGUAACAAGAAUCACAGGAAGCUGCUCCCAUCCCUAACUUCUGGGGAGCCAGAAAAAUUGAAGAUGGUACAAGCGGAAGCUUCUGGGGAGCCCCUGAGGACCUGUGGAGACACUUGCUGUCCAGUUGCUUCUGGUCCCUGAGGUGCUGAUGUGGAGUUAAUGGUAGGAGGCCUGAGAAAGCUGGGUGCUAGAACCAUGUGAUGUACCUCGAGGGGAAGCAUCCCUUCCUGAGGGUGGCCUAACAAAUACCACAGAACUAGAUGGUUGAAAACAACAGAAAUCCACUGUCUUAUAGGUGUGGAGGUUAAAAAUCUCAAAUUAGGUGAUUUUUUUUUUUUUUUUUUUUUUUUCCUGAGGGAUAGAAGGGAGACUGUCUGGGCCUUCUAGCUUCUAGUAGCCUCCACCAUUGAUAUGUAGGUAGGGUUCUCUCCACUUCUCCCAUGGAUGUGUCUGCCUUCAUGUGCAAAUUUACCUUGUUGAAAGGACAACAGCCGGAUUAGGAUGCAGCCUAAUGACUUCCUCUUAAUUAGCUGCAAAGCCCCUAUUCCCAAAUAAGGUUAAAUCCACAGAUAUUGGCAAUUAGGACGUCAGCAUCAUCCAUAACACAAGACAAGAGGUUAGAAAGGAACACAUGCUAAGGUAAGGGGAAAAAGCAGGUCACUUCUCUCUUCUUUUUGCCUUCUAGCUUUUUUAUACUAUUUUCUUAAGCUAGGCAUUUCUUUCUUAGUACUGCUUUAGCUAUAUCUCACAGAUUUUGAAAUGUUUUCUCUUCAUUUUCAUUCAGUUGACAUACUUUCUAACUCCCUCUCGAGUUCUUCUUUGACCCAUAGGUUAUUGAGAGCUCUUACUUAGCUUCCAAAUAACUGGGGACUUUUUCUGAACACUUUCUGUCAUUGACUCUAACCCAAUUCCAUUGUAAUUAGGGUGUUGUCUUAGUAUCAACAGAGCUCUGGAGACUGGAGAACCUACCUAAGAUGUGGGGCUGGACUUCCAAAAGAGGCUAUCUUGGUAUUGGCAGGUGACAGUGCCUGCACCUGUAGCCAGCCACAGUACUAUCAGUUUUGAAUACAUUUUCCUUCGAUGGAAUUGGAGGGUGAGCUAAUGGGACCAGAGUGUGUGCAGAAAUAUCACCAAAUCGCAAAAUAAUGGAAAACAGUCUACAUCACGAAUUACCCCAUAAACAGAAUGAUCACAGAUCCUUUGUGUUAUGAAAGCCCCACGUGUGCAUUUCUCUAAAUGAAAGUCUCCUGAACUUAAACCCAUGGACAUUUUAAAGAAAAUGCAGUAAGCCAAUGCUUCCUUGGCUAAAAACGUGUCUGUGCUCUGCAAACAAUGAACAGAACCCAGGAAGGGAGAUGCAGACCGCCUGCUGAGCCAGUCCUAGUUCUCUUCCCUGGAAAUCUUGUCCUUGCACAGAACUUCUGGAAACCAAUAAAAGAAAACUAAUGUGCUACCCAGAGCAGAGAAAAUGGAAAUCUGCUGAGUUAAUAUUGUGGGUCAUAAAAGUCACUCAAAGAGAAUUCUUUCAAUAAGGUGCCUACCAUAGUGGUUAUAUAAUUCUUCCAUGAAACUUACUUUUCUCUUUCUGAAAAGAAGUUUUGUUUUUUCUCUCAAAGAAUAAUGGUACUGCUUAACAUCCCCAGAACACAAUGUGAAUGAGCUUUUAAAAUUUUAUUCUAAUUACAAGAGAAAUAUAUUCUGAGUAUAGAAGAUGAGGAACAUAGAGAAAACCCUGAAGGAAUCAAACAACCCUAUUGUGAGAUAAAACUCAGGUAACAUUUUGGGAUAUUUAACAAUGUCUAUUGCCUUGACGCCAAAAAGUCGGCAUUAUUGUCGAACAUUAUUAUUAUUAAAGUUUGGAUGUAUUUCAUUUGAAUGAUGGCUAUAAAUAAAUUUUAAGCAGAAAGCAAAAA